AACAUCUUUUCUCGUUAGUUUUUGAAGUAUGGCCUGCCCACUGACUUUUGUGUUGAAGGGCCGCGGUAUUUUGACCGUGCAAAGGUAGCAUAGUCAUUAGUUCUUUAAUUGUGAUCUGGUAUGAAUGGCUUGACGAGGCAUGGGCUGUCUUAAUUUUGAAUUAUUUAUUGAAUUUGGUCUUUGGGUUAAAAUUCUUAGAUGUUUUUAUGGGACGAGAAGACCCUAUAGAGUUUAACAUUUAUUAUGGUCCCUUUUUGUUUGUGAGGGUUCACUGGGCCGUUUAGUAUGUUUUGUUGGGGUGAUGGGAGGGAUUUAUUUAACCCCUCCUUUGAUUGUUAUAUUUAUUUAUAUUUACUU
rnacentral:rRNA from 1 species